GGCAGGGUAGGGUAGAGGUUAAAACCAUGGAUUCUAGAGCCAGAUGGGUUCAAAUCCCGGCUCUGCCG
rnacentral:tRNA from 1 species